rnacentral:rRNA from 1 species
CGUUCCCGGGUCUUGUACACACCGCCCGUCACACCAUGGGAGCGGGAUGUACCGGAAGUAGGUAGGCUAACCGCAAGGGGGCCGCUUACCACGGUGCGUUUCGUGACUGGGUG